rnacentral:rRNA from 1 species
AGAGUUUGAUCCUGGCUCAGGAUGAACGCUAGCGACAGGCCUAACACAUGCAAGUCGAGGGGCAGCAUAAGAGAUAGCUUGCUAUUUCUGGUGGCGACCGGCGCACGGGUGAGUAACGCGUAUGCAAUCUACCUAUAUGAGGGGGAUAACCCGAAGAAAUUCGGACUAACACCGCAUAAUACUGCGAGGAGGCAUCUUCUUGCAUUUAAAUAUUUAUAGCAUAUAGAUGAGCAUGCGUCUGAUUAGCUUGUUGGUAAGGUAACGGCUUACCAAGGCAACGAUCAGUAGGGGUUCUGAGAGGAAGGUCCCCCACACUGGUACUGAGACACGGACCAGACUCCUACGGGAGGCAGCAGUGAGGAAUAUUGGUCAAUGGACGAGAGUCUGAACCAGCCAAGUCGCGUGAAGGAAUACAGCCCUAUGGGUUUUAAACUUCUUUUGUAAGAGAAUAAAAAAGGUUAUGUAUAGCCACUUGUAGGUAUCUUACGAAUAAGGAUCGGCUAACUCCGUGCCAGCAGCCGCGGUAAUACGGAGGAUUCGAGCGUUAUCCGGAUUAAUUGGGUUUAAAGGGUGCGUAGGCGGGAAAUUAAGUCAGUGGUGAAAGUUUGCAGCUCAACUGUAAAAUUGCCAUUGAAACUGAUUUUCUUGAGUGCAAAUGAGGUAGGCGGAAUGUGAUGUGUAGCGGUGAAAUGCUUAGAUAUGUCACAGAACCCCGAUUGCGAAGGCAGCUUACUGGGAUGCAACUGACGCUGAGGCACGAAAGUGUGGGUAUCGAACAGGAUUAGAUACCCUGGUAGUCCACACAGUAAACGAUGAUUACUAACUGUUUGCGAUAUACAGUAAGCGGUACAGCGAAAGCGUUAAGUAAUCCACCUGGGGAGUACGUGCGCAAGCAUGAAACUCAAAGGAAUUGACGGGGGCCCGCACAAGCGGAGGAACAUGUG